GACGAACGCUGGCGGCGUGCUUAACACAUGCAAGUCGAGCGGUAAGGCCUUUCGGGGUCCACGAGCGGCGAACGGGUGAGUAACACGUGGGUGAUCUGCCCUGCACUUCGGGAUAAGCCUGGGAAACUGGGUCUAAUACCGGAUAUGACCUCCUAUCGCAUGGUGGGUGGUGGAAAGAUUUAUCGGUGCAGGAUGGGCCCGCGGCCUAUCAGCUUGUUGGUGGGGUAAUGGCCUACCGAGGCGACGACGGGUAGCCGACCUGAGAGGGUGACCGGCCACACUGGGACUGAGACACGGCCCAGACUCCUACGGGAGGCAGCAGUGGGGAAUAUUGCACAAUGGGCGAAAGCCUGAUGCAGCGACGCCGCGUGAGGGAUGACGGCCUUCGGGUUGUAAACCUCUUUCAGCAGGGACGAAGCGCAAGUGACGGUACCUGCAGAAGAAGCACCGGCUAACUACGUG
rnacentral:rRNA from 1 species